UUUUAGCCCUGAUAGUAGUGGAAAUCUUUUUUCUGGCUUUUUUAGCCGGGAAAAGAUUGAAACGAAUAGCAGGAUUAGCU
rnacentral:sRNA from 1 species